UUGGGAGAUACUACGAGAGAUCCCGACUCGAUUACACUGCACAGAACAAGAGAACACGACCAUGGCUAAGUUAAAGCUCAUCGUCUCCGCGACGAGCUUGUUCUGCACGAGGGUCGAGUGGGCUCUGAAACUGGAGGGCCUCAAGUACAAGCUCAUUGUCGAAGACUUGAAGUAGGGGAAGAGCGAGUUGCUUCU